CAGUUAUCAAAUAAUUAACAAGUGCUCGAGUUAAUUAACAAGACUAGCCGUUAUCCUGAAAAAACAAUUGUGCCCCACGCACACAACAAUACAGUAUAUAAUGUUUAAUCCAAGAAAUGUAGCAGUACUGCUAUACACUGCACUGUAUAUGACUGGGGAAUUCCCAGAAAGUCCUGUUACAACAGAUGAAAAUGAAACAAAAGACAUGAUGGAAAAUAUGUUUCGAUCAAUGUAUGAAGAAGCGUUUGAAGUUUAUGAAGAAUCAUCAUUAGAUUUUCAAAACGAAUUUGAUAUACCUGAAGUAGAACCUGUAAUUUAUGAAGAAAGAGAAGAUGACACAUAUUUUGUAAAAGAAAUUGAAUGUGUUGCGGAUUGUGUACCAAUAGAAUAUAAAAGAAAUGCAGUAGAGUUAUGGAGAAGUGGAACAAAAAAGUCAAGAACUCUUGCAUCUAUAAGAAAUAGAUUUCGGAAAGUCACGUCAUUACGUCAAUUAAGAAGAUGGGAGCAGCAAGUAAAUCAAGGUGGCAGCAGAUUUGAUAAAC